AGCAUGUGCGCGAGUCAUUGGGACAAGCCUAAAGGCGAAAUGAAAGUGAAGGUCAGUCUAGGACCGAGGGAGGAUGGGUCCGGACACGGACCCCGCACUCCCGGGGCGUCCCGUUCUCAUCGCGAGAAGGGGCGCACCCAGAGCGUACACGCUGGGACCCGAAAGAUGGUGAACUAUGCCUGGUCAGGACGAAGUCAGGGGAAACCCUGAUGGAGGUCCGUAGCGAUUCUGACGUGCAAAUCGAUCGUCGGAACUGGGUAUAGGGGCGAAAGACUAAUCGAACCAUCUAGUAGCUGGUUCCCUCCGAAGUUUCCCUCAGGAUAGCUGGCGCUCGCCGCUGGCGAGUCUCAUCCGGUAAAGCGAAUGAUUAGAGGCAUUGGGGUCGAAACGGCCUCAACCUAUUCUCAAACUUUAAAUGGGUGAGAUCUCCGGCUUGCUCGAACGUGAAGCCGCGAGAUUUCGGAUCAGAGUGCCAAGUGGGCCACUUUUG
rnacentral:rRNA from 1 species